rnacentral:tRNA from 1 species
GGGGAUCUAGCUCAGUGGUAGAGCACAGGCUUUGCAUGUAUGAGGUCCGAGGUUCAAUCCCUGGCAUCUCCA